rnacentral:rRNA from 1 species
GACGAACGCUGGCGGCGUGCUUAACACAUGCAAGUCGAACGGUAAGGCCCUUCGGGGUACACGAGUGGCGUACGGGUGAGUAACACGUGGGUGAUCUGCCCUGCACUUCGGGAUAAGCCUGGGAAACUGGGUCUAAUACCGGAUAGGACUCCGGACUGCAUGGUCUGGGGUGGAAAGCUUUUGCGGUGUGGGAUGGGCCCGCGGCCUAUCAGCUUGUUGGUGGGGUGAUGGCCUACCAAGGCGACGACGGGUAGCCGGCCUGAGAGGGUGACCGGCCACACUGGGACUGAGAUACGGCCCAGACUCCUACGGGAGGCAGCAGUAGGGAAUAUUGCACAAUGGGCGCAAGCCUGAUGAAGCAACGCCGCGUGAGGGAUGACGGCCUUCGGGUUGUAAACCUCUUUUAGUAGGGAAGAAGCGAAAGUGACGGUACCUGCAGAAAAAGCACCGGCUAACUACGUGCCAGCAGCCGCCGUAA